rnacentral:rRNA from 1 species
AGUGAACGCUGGCGGUAGGCCUAACACAUGCAAGUCGAACGGCAGCACAGUAAGAGCUUGCUCUUACGGGUGGCGAGUGGCGGACGGGUGAGGAAUACAUCGGAAUCUACUUUUUCGUGGGGGAUAACGUAGGGAAACUUACGCUAAUACCGCAUACGACCUACGGGUGAAAGCAGGGGAUCUUCGGACCUUGCGCGAUUGAAUGAGCCGAUGUCGGAUUAGCUAGUUGGCGGGGUAAAGGCCCACCAAGGCGACGAUCCGUAGCUGGUCUGAGAGGAUGAUCAGCCAAACUGGAACUGAGACACGGUCCAGACUCCUACGGGAGGCAGCAGUGGGGAAUAUUGGGCAAUGGGCGCAAGCCUGAUCCAGCCAUACCGCGUGGGUGAAGAAGGCCUUCGGGUUGUAAAGCCCUUUUGUUGGGAAAGAAAAGCAGCAGGUUAAUACCCCGCUGUUCUGACGGUACCCAAAGAAUAAGCACCGGCUAACUUCGUG